UACAGAGGAUGCAAGCGUUAUCCGGAAUGAUUGGGCGUAAAGCGUCUGUAGGUGGCUUUUAAGUCCGCCGUCAAAUCCCAGGGCUCAACUCUGGACAGGCGGUGGAAACUACCAAGCUGGAGUACGGUAGGGCAGAGGGAAUUCCGGUGGAGCGGUGAAAUGCGUAGAGAUCGGAAAGAACACCAACGGCGAAAGCACUCUGCUGGCCGACACUGACACUGAGAGACGAAAGCUAGGGAGCGAAUGGG
rnacentral:rRNA from 1 species